rnacentral:lncRNA from 10 species
UGACCCAGCUCAGUCAUUUCAUAUCACCAGACUUCAGAAACGGGUAUGCAGGAGAUUAGAAGCCAGUGGGCAUGAGCGUGGCUGCCACCAGGUGAAUGCCUGUGCCCUGGCGUCCUGGGGCCCAGAGGACCGGGAGCUUCCAUCAAGAGGCUGCCUCCCAGCACCAAGGCCAGAGAGUGGCCAGGGGAGGCUAAGUACAGGGAUUUCUCAGAAUGGUGGAAGGAGCUCAGCCCAGCCUUGCCCAAGAUGUAUUGCAGGGGAAUCUGGACAUUUUAGCCAUACCAAGAAUCAUUAGAAGAUGCAAGCUGGAAAAAAGAAGGUCCCAGUUUUGGUUUUGAACCCUUCAUGUUGCAGCAAAUGUGAAUCUCCUACAGAUGGGUUUGGGGACUUACCUGUUCAAAUAGCAGCCCGGUGUCCUCUGUGGGUGGGGGGAGGUUUGUCUGUCCUUUCAUUCUAGUAAAUCCACCAUCCUCUGCACGAGAGCCAGGAGAAUCCACAUCACUUCAAAAGAGCCCCCAAAUCCUUACUACGUACUACAGCCUCCUUUCGAAUGUUCCUGGUUGAGAGGGAGAUCAAUUGCAUUAUUUACAAGUCAAAAAAUUUUGUAUCAAACUUCCUAUGAGCUUGGGCACUCAUGGCCUAUGGAGGCCCACCCAGACGCAGCCCCGCCAUCAUGCUUUUUCGUUGUUUUGUGGAUGUACCCAGGGC